GAGAUAGGAAGAGGGCAUAACGUUAAACCAGCUUCUCAAGUCACUGGGAAGAUGGGAAGUGAAAGGAUGUGGAAAGAAGAAAGGAGAGGAAAUUAUGUAAAUGUGUUGCAUUCCUUCCUCUGGAAGCUUCAUCCUAGAGGGGCACCUACUAGAUGCCAGCCAGAGCUCUCUUAUAUGAGGUGUCUGUCAGCCCCUACUGGGAGGUGUCUCCCAGUCAGGAUACUCGGGGGUCAGGGACCCACUUGAGGAGGCAGUCUGUCCCUUAUCAGAUCUCUAAUGCUGUGCCGGGAGGUCCACUG
rnacentral:lncRNA from 1 species